rnacentral:rRNA from 1 species
UGCGUAGGUGGCGGGGUAAGUCGGAUGUGAAAUCUCCGAGCUCAACUCGGAAACUGCAUUGGAAACUACUCUGCUCGAGGGUUGGAGGGGGGACUGGAAUACUUGGUGUAGCAGUGAAAUGCGUAGAUAUCAAGUGGAACACCAGUGGCGAAGGCGAGUCCCUGGACAACUCCUGACACUGAGGCACGAAAGCUAGGGGAGCAAACAG